AUACGGAGGAUGCAAGCGUUAUCCGGAUUUAUUGGGUUUAAAGGGUGCGUAGGCGGAUGAUUAAGCGUGAGGUGAAAUGCCACUGCUCAACAGUGGAACUGCCUCGCGAACUGGUUGUCUUGAAUGCUCCUGCCGUGGGAGGAAUGUGUGGUGUAGCGGUGAAAUGCAUAGAGAUCACACAGAACACCGAUUGCGAAGGCAUCUCACGAAGGGGUGAUUGACGCUGAGGCACGAAAGCGUGGGGAUCAAACAGGAUUAGAUACCCUGGUAGUCCACACUGUAAACGAUGAUAACUCGCUGUCGGCGAUAUACAGUCGGUGGCCAAGCGAAAGCGAUAAGUUAUCCACCUGGGGAGUACGACCGCAAGGUUGAAACUCAAAGGAAUUGACGGGG
rnacentral:rRNA from 1 species